CUUCUACCUUAUUUCUUUUACAAUAAUUUAAAUUUCAGCUGCAAACCAGAUUCAGAUCAGAUCUUCACAUGCCAGAGUACCUCUGUCAACAUCAAACAGUGAAAAUGCACAAACUUCAGCUACUGCAUCUACGAGUACAGGCCAAGCUUGUCUGAAAUCUGGAAUAAGCAUUCGACCGGAUAAAGCGGCAAUACCAGCGAAACGCCCCCGCUUUGCUGACAAACAACCUGGCGGAUCUAGGGAUUCUCUAGUUCAGCGGUCGGCAACAAGCGGCCCGCGAGCCCCCCUGGCUAUUUUGUAUGUAAUAUUGUCAAACAACAAUGUCUGAUUAAAGUCACACAUAUUAACAAAAGUGCGGCCCGCGUCAACUUCC